rnacentral:ncRNA from 13 species
GGUGGGUCGCGCACGGGCGGCCCCCCACAUGUAUGCUCAUCCUCGCUGUCGCCGCAGGGGGAUCCGGUGCGAAUCCGGAACUGUCCCGCAACGGUAUGAAAAGUCCGAGGACCUGCCGACAGUGCGCCCGGAUCG